GCCUAGAGAGGCGGCCAAGAUGGCGGUGCUGGUCGACCACGCCUCCUCCGGGAGCGGAGGCGGGUGGCUGUUCUCGGAUGUGCCUGCUUCCCCUUUGUCUGCUGUGACUAUAGGUUUCCUGAGGCCUCCCCAGCCAUGCAUCCUGUACAGCCUGUGGAACUACGGAGAUAGCUGUUGGUGCCCCCUGAACCUUGAAACUAAAGCCUCAGCUGAGGUUAUUAGAAGAUUUCAGAUGUACAAGCACAGACCCAGGGAGGACAGCUGGAACACCUCACUGGGGUCCUGUUGAGGAGAACUGAGAUUGCAGAAUGGGCACCCUAAGUCACACAAGAGCAUUCAUCUCAAGAAAAGGGGGAGUCAAGACUGGUAACCCUGGCACCAUAACAUGGUCUGGAGGUUGGGCCAGGUAGCAGUGGGUGCUGGCAUUAGCACAGCAUGUGGCCUAGACUGAAAACCCAUCAUACCCAAUUGCCCUGUACAGUGGCACAUUUUAGGGAAAUAACAGCGUAUGUGUGUGAGCUGAAAGAGCCGCAAUCUUGGAUCCUAAGUUUGGGGCACCACUGUGGCCUGUAACGAAACUUGGUCUAGCAAGAGCAUUGUACAGAUGAAAAAUUCCAUCCGAUGGUGUGAGCUGAGUUUCAAAUGGUGACAUUGUGUGGUGGAGCAGAAAUAAAGGUCAGUGGGCUGAUUAGA